GCUUUGGUGGGGUAGUGGUAACCUGGGUCGUUGCCAUGGCCAUGGAUGUCAAGAUUGAUGCUUCUCGACCCGCUGGGGGUUCGAUUCCCUCCCAAAGCA